UUUUUUCUUUUCUCUUUGAUUUUUUAUCUCCUGCGCAUAGGGCCCUCUUGGGCUUUCCCACCAGCCCACUAAGGGCUGGUGCGGCACCCCUAAGGCCUAUGGGCUUCCCGGGUGGGUCGUCCCCCUCCCGGUGAACACCCGGAACCCAUUCGUCACUCCCGGUAAUGACCGAAAACUUUCAGGUAACCAAAUGAGGUCAUCCUAUAUAUCAAUCUUCGUCUCCGGACCAUUCCAGAAACCCUCGUACAUCCGUG
rnacentral:lncRNA from 1 species